rnacentral:sRNA from 1 species
UGACCGCUCCUCUGCCUGGGGAGCCAAGGCUACACGGACGGCCGGGUCAAAUGCCGA